UACGUAGGGGGCAAGCGUUGUCCGGAUUUAUUGGGCGUAAAGAGCGUGUAGGCGGCCAGACAGGUCCGUUGUGAAAACUCGAGGCUCAACCUCGAGACGCCGAUGGAAACCGUCUGGCUAGAGUCCGGAAGAGGAGAGUGGAAUUCCUGGUGUAGCGGUGAAAUGCGCAGAUAUCAGGAAGAACACCCGUGGCGAAGGCGGCUCUCUGGUACGGUACUGACGCUGAGACGCGAAAGCGUGGGGAGCGAACAGG
rnacentral:rRNA from 1 species